AAAAUUUAGUUAAAUUUAUAACGUUAGAUUGUCAAACUAAAGUAAUUUUAAAAAAUAAUUUUUAA
rnacentral:tRNA from 1 species